rnacentral:rRNA from 1 species
UACGUAGGGCGCAAGCGUUGUCCGGAAUUAUUGGGCGUAAAGAGCUCGUAGGCGGCAUGGCAAGUCGGGAGUGAAAGGCCUGGGCUCAACCGAGGAACUGCUUUCGAGACUGCCAAGCUAGAGUGCGGAAGGGGCAUCUGGAAUUCCCAGUGUAGCGGUGAAAUGCGUAGAUAUUGGGAAGAACACCUGAGGCGAAGGCGGGAUGCUGGGCCGACACUGACGCUGAGGCGCGAAAGCCAGGGGAGCAAACGGG